rnacentral:rRNA from 1 species
UACGGAGGGGGCGAGCGUUAUUCGGAAUCAUUGGGCGUAAAGGGCGCGUAGGCGGCCCCGUAAGUCUUGGGUGAAAGCCCUCGGCUCAACCGAGGAAUUGCCUUGGAUACUGCGGGGCUCGAGGCUGGAAGAGGGCAGUGGAAUUCCCGGUGUAGCGGUGAAAUGCGUAGAUAUCAGGAGGAACACCGGUGGCGAAGGCGGCGUCCUGGACCAACACUGACACUGAUGAGCGAAAGCCAGGGGAGCAAACGGG